rnacentral:tRNA from 1 species
CGGGGCGGAGCGCAGCCCGGUUAGCGCACUUGUCUGGGAGACUAGUGCUCGUGAGUUCAAAUCUCGCCGCCCCGACCA